CCCAUCCUGAGGUGUUCGCCAGUUAUCCGAAUCCCUGAGCCGAUAAUCCUACCCCAGGAGGCAGCUUGAUGUAUUGGAGCGCAUGUCCGCUAGACGGAAAGCCCGACAUACACGGCUCCCUCCCACUUGAACUCCUCGGUUCAAGGUUAGGUUAACAGCGGCACUUUGGGUGAUUU
rnacentral:other from 1 species